rnacentral:rRNA from 1 species
CACGUAGGCACCAAGCGUUGUCCGGAUUUAUUGGGCGUAAAGAGCUCGUAGGCGGUUCCGUAAGUCGAGUGUGAAAAAUCUGGGCUCAACCCAGUGGAGCACUCGAUACUGCGGUGACUAGAGUACGGUAGAGGAGUGUGGAAUUCCUGGUGUAGCGGUGAAAUGCGCAGAUAUCAGGAGGAACACCAACGGCGAAGGCAGCACUCUGGGCCGGUACUGACGCUGAGGAGCGAAAGCGUGGGGAGCAAACAGG